GUUUGCUCUUGGUCCUGGGGACCUCCAGCUGCACAGUCACAGACAGGAAAGCUCUCCAGAGGGUCAUCACCACAGCCCAGAAGAUCACUGGUUGUCUCUUGCCUUCAUUAGAGGAACUGUAUACAAGUUGUUGUCUCAGGAAGGCAA